rnacentral:rRNA from 1 species
AGUGAACGCUGGCGGUAGGCCUAACACAUGCAAGUCGAACGGCAGCACAGUAAGAGCUUGCUCUUACGGGUGGCGAGUGGCGUACGGGUGAGGAAUACAUCGGAAUCUACUUUUUCGUGGGGGAUAACGUAGGGAAACUUACGCUAAUACCGCAUACGACCUACGGGUGAAAGCAGGGGAUCUUCGGACCUUGCGCGAUUGAAUGAGCCGAUGUCGGAUUAGCUAGUUGGCGGGGUAAAGGCCCACCAAGGCGACGAUCCGUAGCUGGUCUGAGAGGAUGAUCAGCCACACUGGAACUGAGACACGGUCCAGACUCCUACGGGAGGCAGCAGUGGGGAAUAUUGGACAAUGGGCGGAAGCCUGAUCCAGCCAUACCGAGUGGGUGAAGAAGGCGUUCGGGUUGUAAAGCCCUUUUGUUGGGAAAGAAAAGCAGCAGGUUAAUACCACGCUGUUCUGACGGUAACCAAAGAAUAAGCACCGGCUAACUUCGUG